rnacentral:misc_RNA from 1 species
CGGCGAACUUGCAGAAUCCUUUCUUGAUACAUUUAAUCAUUAUGUUGGCAGAAUCAAUCCCUGAUAGGUAAGCACCAUGAACAUAGCCAUUGUAAUGUUCGCUCGUAUGCUCGCCAGUGAAGUAGACCCUUCCCACGGGUGCCCUGAUCUGAUCAAACUCAUAUCUGUUAACCCCAAGUGGCCAAUUGGAGAAAGUGCCCUUGUAGAACCUAUCAGACCACCAUCUAGGGACAAGUAUGUCUGUCGCAUCGGGUAUGUUCUUUCCAAACAUUUUACGCAGAACUUCCAUGGCUUCAGCUUUAGUCUCAUCAUUUGAUUGUUGUUCUAUUCUUCGUGAUUCCUCAUCAGUGACGGUAACCAGUAGCACAUGUGCUCCUGGGUAUUGCUUUUCG